GGCUGUGACAGGUAGAGCAGCGACGGCAAGGCAGCGAGUGUGCAGCUUGCAGUGCACUGGUUGCUGCAGUAGCAGAUGUCGCUGUUCACAGUAUAGCAGCGAAAGAGUGAAGGCAGAGCAGAGCAAAGGAUUACCUGCGCUCUGAUACCAUGUUGAGUUUGAUAUUUCUGUAUGUCCAUACUGCUGCAAUGGCAGCAUUGCUUUAUACAUUGGAUACGUACACGCAUGCAUUAAACUAAGUAUAAAUGAAGGUGGAGUCCUCUCUGCCCAUAGUGCAGAAACUGCCCAUAAAGCACAAACACAGAUGCACAGCCCACGUGGGCAGUUUAGCUGUCAAGGCAUGGGUUGAAACCAUGUGCAAUAUUCCUCUGACAGGUUUGCUCUUUAACAUCACCUUCAAGCAUCUCCACAACUUUUCUCAUAGAAGGGCGAUCUGCCGGCUUCAAUUGUACGCACCACAGUGCAACCAUGAUCAUCUUCUUUGCUACUUUCUUAUCAUUUUCACAGGCAUUCUCAAUUUCAAUGCUCAAUCCUUUUUCUAGUUGAUCAUAAAUCCAAAAGGGAAGUACAUAUAUUUGGCUUGUAUUUUCUGCAUGAGCAUGCAUUCAAGUUCUUUUUGCCUCCUCUCAUUUCCAAUAACAACAUCCCAAAGCUAUGUAUCCCAUUGUGCUCCUUGCAGCAGUAACAGAAAUGGUGGUGUGAUCUUUGGGGUAAAAUCUGCAUAUCACAGCACUGAUGUAGAUAUGCUUGAGGAAUGCCGGUUGAAAAAACUAAAUUCCAUAUGUUGAUUAGGUCAAUGCUUUGGUAAAUAAUUAGAUGUACCCUUUUCUUGGGCUGGAAACUGAUUAACUAUAGUUUACUAAACAUUUUUGAAAAUUUCUUACAUAAAAUUACUCUCUCUAUUCUAAUUACUCGAAUUUAAUCGUUCCCUUGGUUAUCAAGAGCCACGGGCUAAGAGUUAUGACAUGCCAUUUUCCUAAUCUGAGUUAUGACAUGCCAUUUUCCUUUUAAAAGAUAUUUAUAUGGAUGUUCAAAACGUAUAUUUAGCUGUGCCGGAAAAGACUAGUUUCCCUUUUUUUCUUUAUGGAAAUCCAAGUACUUAAGAUUUUGAUGGAGCAAUUGUCGAUUAUAUUAUCUUCAGAAUGCAAAACUAGGUUUCAUGCAUCUCUAAGCUAUCUGUAUUUUUGGAUCCUGUUGAACCCUUUCAGAUUGCAAAAGUAAUGAUUACAACCGGAAAGCUUCUGUCUGAAAGUUCAACAUCGACAGUCACUGAUGAACUAAAGAAGGAAAGCAGGAUGCUGAAGGUGGACAAUGUUACUGCACUUGUUGCAAGUAACAAGGGAGGCAUUUAUUCUAUGUUCAAUUGUGGAUUAAUGUCGUUGCCAACUGCAGUUUGGAGAUCUUCAGCUCGAGCUAACAUCAGAUAAACCCAGCAUAGGGGCCGUAAUCAGCUUUGCUUUUUGGUAAAUAUACUUGCCUGUAACAACCUUACUUCUCUUUCGUGGGAGCUAGCUCAGGGCAUCCAAAACAUCCCGGAGAGUUCAUUGCAGUAUGCAAAUGACAAUGCUUUGAUGCUGGCUAAGUCUUUGAGGGGCGCUCUGCUUGCUGUCUGCUAUUCAUCAGCGUUAUUGUCUGCUUUUACUACCGUCGGACUUUCUCUUACCCGGAAGACAACUAAAGUCACCAAACGAGAAGUGAGCUUCCUGAGUGUUCUGUCUCCCUCGGUUUUGCCUUUACCUCUCUCUGUAUAUGCUGAAGUCGAUCAAUGUAUUUUAUAAUAGAAUUGCCCGAUAUAAGUGGAAUUUAAAUGUUGCUCAAUAACAAUCUCAAGAAGUGCAUAAGAAGAUUUUUUGUUAACAAAACAACUGUAUCAUGUAAUUAACUCAGAAUAAUGUACAAGGUUGAGAUCUCUUCUUUUGUGUUAA